rnacentral:rRNA from 1 species
CUUAAGGGCUGGUCUUUAUAAGUAAAAAGGCGUAGAGGAUGUGUAGGCCAAGAAAUUAUCUAAGAAGGUAAAUGGAAUUUUUCUGGAGCGGUAAAAUGUGAAGAUAGAAAAUAGAACACCUAAGGUUAAAACUAUUUACCACAAAAUAGGCUGAAACAUGAGAGAGUGGGGAGCAAACAGGAUUAGAGACCCUGGUAGUCCACUCUGUAAACUUUGAAGAUUAUGUUUAGCAGGCCCGAAAGGUAAAAUCUUCCGCCUGAGUAGUACGAUCGCAAGAUUAAAAUUCAAAAACUUUGGCUGUUCACUACUUCGAUUAGAGGAGCGUGUAGUUUAAUUCGAUGGUCCGCGUGUUACCUUACCCCAGCUUGAAUCUAUGACCGGUAUUGCAUGGCCGUCGUAAGUCCCUGUGUUAAACUAAAAGGGACCCAAUCCGGGCGUUUGCCUGAAGGAAGUCAGGUCUUAUGAUCCGAAUGUUGGGGGAUUUAUGCGCUACAUUUUCUUAUAUAAUGAGAGACUUGAGAGGUAAGCCUCUAAAGUAAGAGUUCGGAAGGUCGCUGUAAAACGACUGGAAGUUGGAUUUAAUAGUAAUC